rnacentral:rRNA from 1 species
AGCGAACGCUGGCGGCAGGCUUAACACAUGCAAGUCGAGCGGGCAUCCUUGUGGUGUCAGCGGCAGACGGGUGAGUAACGCGUGGGAACGUGCCCUUCGGUUCGGAAUAACUCAGGGAAACUUGAGCUAAUACCGGAUACGUGCGAGAGCAGAAAGGUUUAUCUGCCGAAGGAUCGGCCCGCGUCUGAUUAGCUAGUUGGUGAGGUUACGGCUCACCAAGGCGACGAUCAGUAGCUGGUCUGAGAGGAUGAUUAGCCACACUGGGACUGAGACACGGCCCAGACUCCUACGGGAGGCAGCAGUGGGGAAUAUUGGACAAUGGGGGCAACCCUGAUCCAGCCAUGCCGCGUGAGUGAUGACGGCCUUAGGGUUGUAAAGCUCUUUUCUCCGGGACGAUAAUGACGGUACCGGAGGAAUAAGCCCCGGCUAACUUCGUG